rnacentral:rRNA from 1 species
GACGAACGCUGGCGGCGUGCCUAAUACAUGCAAGUAGAACGCUGAAGGAGGAGCUUGCUUCUCUGGACGAGUUGCGAACGGGUGAGUAACGCGUAGGUAACCUGCCUGGUAGCGGGGGAUAACUAUUGGAAACGAUAGCUAAUACCGCAUAAUAUUGACUAUUGCAUGAUAGUCAGUUGAAAGGUGCAACUGCACCACUACCAGAUGGACCUGCGUUGGAUUAGCUAGUUGGUGGGGUAACGGCUCACCAAGGCGACGAUACAUAGCCGACCUGAGAGGGUGAUCGGCCACACUGGGACUGGGACACGGCCCAGACUCCCACAGGAAGCAGCAAUAGGGAAUCUUCGGCCAUGGGCGGAAGGCCGACCGAGCAACGCCGGGGGAGUGAAGAAGGUUUUCGGAUCGUAAAGCUCUGUUGUAAGGGAAGAACGAGUGUGGGAGUGGAAAGCUCACACUGUGACGGUAUCUUACCAGAAAGGGACGGCUAACUACGUG